AAAAUUUGGUUCUAGUUUAAAGUUGAUUAUGUCUUUUAGAAAUACAUGAUAGUUUUUCGCAGUUGCAAAAAAUAAAGCUUUUACUUUUAUUUUAAUAAUAUUUUUACUAGCUUUAUUUUUAUUAAAUAUUUUUAUGAUAAAUUACUUGCAACUUCAGUAUUUAAUAUUAAACAAUAAGGAAACUUAGAUUUAGAAAUAGAACAAAAGGCUAGCUAAAUUUGUGCCAGCAGCUGCGGUUAUACAAAAGGCCUUAGUCAACAUAACCGGUAAAAGGUAGUUAUCUUCUUAUUUAAUCAAAUUAAAAAAAGAGAAAAAGUAAAAUUUACUCAUUUCAAUAACCUAACAUUGAUUUUCAGACAGAGAAGCUACGAAAUUUAAAACUAAAACUGGGAUUAGAUACCCCAUUAUUUUAAACCUAAAUUCUUACACCAGAGUACUACGAGCAAAGCUUAAAACUCAAAGGACUUGGCGGUACUUUAUAUUUUCCUAGGGGAACCUGUCCUAUAAUCCGAUAAUCCGCGUUAAACCUAACUUUCUUUAUCUUCUAGUUAGCUUGUAUACUUCCGUCAUAAGUUAGUUCUUAAAGAAAUAAAAACUAACUACUCAAUACUUCUAUUUUGAUGUCAGGUCAAAGUGCAGCUUAUAAGAAAGAAGAGAUGGGUUACAAUUUUUAUUUAAAUCAGACAAAAGACUGAAAAACUUUUUAAAGGCGGACUUAGGAGUAAUUUUAAAUUAUGAAUAUUAAACUGAACUUAACACUAAAGUAUGCACAUAUUGCCCGUCACUCUCCUUAUAUAAUAGGAGAUAAGUCGUAACAUAGUAGGAGUAGCGGAAGCUGCCCCUAAAAGUGA
rnacentral:ncRNA from 1 species